AAUCAGUGUGAAGUAGCAGCAAUGCCGUGCGCUUAUUGAUAUUGUACGUAUGCUUCAUAGACUUCAUUUAUAGGUAAAGGGAGAUCACUCUCAAUAAGUGACCUUCGUCUGCAAAACAAGUAAGUGAUAAAGUACUCAGAAUUUGACUGAUGUUGUCAAUCGGACGACAACCAUGAAGAGAGGCAGGUCGCCAGUAGUGGAGGAGGGACAGGAGCUGCAAGGAAAGAAGCCAGAUGUUGGAAUUAAACCGAGUCAAAGGGACUGGUCAACCCGGCCACCCACAACCUCCGCAGCCAGGGUGCAGUGGGGGCCGUACCUGGCGGAGAGACAGUGGGGGACUGUCAGGGAGGACCUGUCUACAGAUAGAAACUGCUGGUCAAGCCUGUCCUACGAUGCCGCAGUGAGAACUGCCUACAUGUCUGGAGAGGAUGGACUGUUUGGAGUGAGUGACCAGAACUGCCUCAUGUGUGCAGCCAUUGCGCUGUGGAACCAUAAUGAUCCCUGCCUCAAGGAGAGACUGUUUGGCCUCUCAAAUCCACAGGGAAACCAUGGAGAAGAUGUGAAGGAGCUGUACUACUAUCUUGACAACAACCCGAGGCACACCUACAUGAAGGCGUUGUACAAGUACCCCCAGAGCAGCUUCCCUUAUGACCAGCUGGUCACACAGAACACCAACAGAGGCACUGACCAGCCGGAGUUGGAGCUUCUCGAUACAGGGGUGUUUAAGGACAGCAAAUACUGGGAUGUAUAUGUGGAGUAUGCUAAGAUGGCCGAGGAAGACCUCAUCUGCUGUGUGACUGUCAUCAACCAGUCAGAGACCACAGAGGAGAUCCUUGUCAUGCCACAGGUUUGGUUUAGGAAUACAUGGAGUGAGUCACCCGUUGAAGCAGCUGACAGCAAACCCUCCUUCCAUCUCACAGCAGCAGGAUCCGUGCAGGCUAGCAGUCAUCUAGGGCAAUUUCAGGUUGAGUUUCACACCGACACGGUCAGCCCAGGGGAGGUGUUGUUCUGCAACAACGACACUCGGCCAGGCUCACACCAUAAGAGUACUGAACACCUGGAGACUCGGCCGAGCUCACACCAUCAGAGUACUGAACACCUGGACACACGGCCGAGCUCACACCAUCAGAGUACUGAACACCUGGACACUCGGCUGGGCUCACACCGUCAGAGUACUGAACACCUGGACACCCAGCCAGGCUCACACCGUCAGAGUACUGAACACCUGGACACCCAGCCAGGCUCACACCAUCCGAGUACUGAACACCUGGACACUCAGCCAGGCUCACACCGUCAGAGUACUGAACACCUGGACACCCAGCCAGGCUCACACCGUCAGAGUACUGAACACCUGGACACCCAGCCAGGCUCACACCGUCAGAGUACUGAACACCUGGACACUCAGCCAGGCUCACACCGUCAGAGUACUGAACACCUGGACACUCAGCCGGGCUCACACCGUCAGAGUACUGAACACCUGGACACCCAGCCAGGCUCACACCGUCAGAGUACUGAACACCUGGACACUCAGCCGGGCUCACACCAUCCGAGUACUGAACACCUGGACACUCAGCCAGGCUCACACCGUCAGAGUACUGAACACCUGGACACUCAGCCGGGCUCACACCAUCCGAGUACUGAACACCUGGACACUCGGCCAAGCUCACACCAUCAGAGUACUGAACACCUGGACACUCAGCCGGGCUCACACCAUCCGAGUACUGAACACCUGGACACUCGGCCCAGCUCACAACUGAGUACUGAACACACUGAAACUCCACCAGCCACACAAAAGGACAAUGUGAACCUGGAGACAAGCUUCUAUAAGGAUGCCUUUCACAGAUACAUCGUACAAGGUGAUUGUACUGCUGUAAACUCUGGCCACUAUGGAAGUAAAUGUGCUGCCCCCUACUGGCUAACAGUGACCCCUGGUGGCCACAAGAAGAUCUACUGGUCAAUACAGAACUCCAACACUUGCUCAGCUCUGAGUGUUUUGCAGAUGGACAAUAUCAUCAACAAGAGAAAAGCUGAAACAAAAAUGUUUUAUUCUAAACUCAUGUCCCCAAAGUGGAGUAAAGAGGAGGAGUCACUAUCCCGGCAGGCUGUGGCAGGCCUGCUGUGGUCCAAGCAGUUCUACCUGUAUGAUGUGGAGAAGGCCAUUAACAGGUCAAGAGGUCAGGACAAGGCCAGUGCGACCUCCGAUGACCCUACAGUGAGGCAAGUGUGGAACGAGGGAUGGCAGCACAUCAGGAACUCGGACAUCAUCGCUGUGCCAGACAAGUGGGAGUUUCCUUGGUAUGCCCCAUGGGACCUGGCGUUCCACAUGAUCCCGUACAUCCGUGUCGACAUUGACUUCUGUAAACAUCAGCUGGAGCUGUUCCUCACAGACAGAUACAUGAAGAGUGAUGGGCAGUUUCCAGGCUGUGAGUUUAACCUCAGUGACCCCAACCCUCCCCUACAUGCAUGGGCGUGUCUAGGUGUGCACCGAGCUGAUGACAGUAACGACAUUGACUUCCUGACCCGCUGCUACCCUACCCUCAUCAGAAACUUUGAAUGGUGGAUGGGUCGUCUCAGCCCUGACAGCCUCUACGUCAGCGGCGGCUUCCUGGGCUUGGACAACAUCAGCGUGAUUGACAGGUCCAACACACCCCAGGGGUACACGCUGACACAGGCAGAUGGGUCGGCAUGGGUGGCACUUGCCGCUCUCAACAUGGCCGAAAUAUCUCUGCACAUGGACAUCACUGAACCUAGCUGUCUCCUCCAAUCAAAACACUUCUUAGAUGUCUUCCUACACAUUGCAGUACAGAUGAAUCGCAGCCUCAACAAUGGAGGCCUAUGGCAUCCAGGAGACAGAUUCUACUACGAUGUUCUGCACCGCGGGGCAGAGCCGAUCCCUGUACGGCUGAAGUCAUUAGUGGGCCUGGUACCGCUGUUUGCUGCUGCAGUCAUUGACGUCCCUGCCGGUGCUGCAGCUGUCACAGAGAGGCUGGAGACAUGUAGCAGCAAGGAAAAGGAGCAUGUACACAAGAUGAAGGACAACAGGUACUACCUGUCCCUCGUCCCCAAGUCUCGGCUCCUGCACAUCCUACAAGCUGUCUGUGAUCCUCACAUGUUUCUCUCUCCGUUUGGUGUCCGCUCGUUAGCAAAGAUGUAUGACAGAGAGCCCUACAGCCUUGUGCUGGAGCCUGACAUCUACAGUGUCCGAUAUACACCAGGGGAGUCGGACUCACGCAUGUUUGGUGGAAACAGCAACUGGAGGGGUCCUGUCUGGCUGUGCAGUGAGUGGUGAUGGUUGUUACAGUCAGAUAUACACCAGGGGAGUCGGACUUGCGCAUGUUUGGUGGGAACAGCAACUGGAGGGGUCCUGUCUGGCUGUGCAGUGAGUGGUGAUGGUUGUUACAGUCAGAUAUACACCAGGGGAGUCGGACUUGCGCAUGUUUGGUGGGAACAGCAACUGGAGUGGUCCGGUCUGGCUGUGCAGUGAGUGGUGAUGGUUGUUACAGUCAGAUAUACACCAGGGGAGUCAGACUUGCGCAUGUUUGGUGGGAACAGCAACUGGAGGGGUCCUGUCUGGCUGUGCAGUGAGUGGUGAUGGUUGUUACAGUCAGAUAUACACCAGGGGAGUCAGACUUGCGCAUGUUUGGUGGGAACAGCAACUGGAGGGGUCCUGUCUGGCUGUGCAGUGAGUGGUGAUGGUUGUUACAGUCAGAUAUACACCAGGGGAGUCAGACUUGCACAUGUUUGGUGGGAACAGCAACUGGAGGGGUCCUGUCUGGCUGUGCAGUGAGUGGUGAUGGUUGUUACAGUCAGAUAUACACCAGGGGAGUCGGACUUGCGCAUGUUUGGUGGGAACAGCAACUGGAGGGGUCCUGUCUGGCUGUGCAGUGAGUGGUGAUGGUUGUUACAGUCAGAUAUACACCAGGGGAGUCGGACUUGCGCAUGUUUGGUGGGAACAGCAACUGGAGGGGUCCUGUCUGGCUGUGCAGUGAGUGGUGAUGGUUGUUACAGUCAGAUAUACACCAGGGGAGUCAGACUUGCACAUGUUUGGUGGGAACAGCAACUGGAGGGGUCCUGUCUGGCUGUGCAGUGAGUGGUGAUGGUUGUUACAGUCAGAUAUACACCAGGGGAGUCGGACUUGCACAUGUUUGGUGGGAACAGCAACUGGAGUGGUCCUGUCUGGCUGUGCAGUGAGUGGUGAUGGUUGUUACAGUCAGAUAUACACCAGGGGAGUCGGACUUGCGCAUGUUUGGUGGGAACAGCAACUGGAGUGGUCCUGUCUGGCUGUGCAGUGAGUGGUGAUGGUUGUUACAGUCAGAUAUACACCAGGGGAGUCGGACUUGCGCAUGUUUGGUGGGAACAGCAACUGGAGGGGUCCUGUCUGGCUGUGCAGUGAGUGGUGAUGGUUGUUACAGUCAGAUAUACACCAGGGGAGUCGGACUUGCGCAUGUUUGGUGGAAACAGCAACUGGAGGGGUCCUGUCUGGCUGUGCAGUGAGUGGUGAUGGUUGUUACAGUCAGAUAUACACCAGGGGAGUCGGACUUGCGCAUGUUUGUGGGAACAGCAACUGGAGGGGUCCUGUCUGGCUGUGCAGUGAGUGGUGAUGGUUGUUACAGUCAGAUAUACACCAGGGGAGUCGGACUUGCGCAUGUUUGUGGGAACAGCAACUGGAGGGGUCCUGUCUGGCUGUGCAUGAACUAUCUGAUGGUGGACAGUCUUGACACAGCCAGUGAGGUGUACGGCAACACCUUCAGGCUAGAGCACCCCACCGGCUCCGGACACAUGGCAUCACUCGCGGACGUUGCUGUGGAUGUUGC